GACGAACGCUGGCGGCGUGCUUAACACAUGCAAGUCGAACGGUGAACGAGGGAGCUUGCUCCAUCCGGAUCAGUGGCGAACGGGUGAGUAACACGUGAGCAAUCUGCCCCGAACUCUGGGAUAAGCGUUGGAAACGACGUCUAAUACCGGAUACGACGCGGGAGGGCAUCCUCUCCGCGUGGAAAGAACUUCGGUUCGGGAUGAGCUCGCGGCCUAUCAGCUUGUUGGUGAGGUAACGGCUCACCAAGGCGACGACGGGUAGCCGGCCUGAGAGGGUGACCGGCCACACUGGGACUGAGACACGGCCCAGACUCCUACGGGAGGCAGCAGUGGGGAAUAUUGCACAAUGGGCGCAAGCCUGAUGCAGCAACGCCGCGUGAGGGACGACGGCCUUCGGGUUGUAAACCUCUUUUAGCAGGGAAGAAGCGAAAGUGACGGUACCUGCAGAAAAAGCACCGGCUAACUACGU
rnacentral:rRNA from 1 species